AUGCAUGACGUUGCCUUAUGUGUUAUGGGAAAAGAUUGCCUUACCAUAGUUGGUAGGCCUAAUCAAAAGGAGCUGUUGUCAGCAGGCCCUGCUCGCCACCUGUUCUUAUCAAGUCGUGUCAUCGGAACUCUUUUGGAUGAUCAUCUGAAGAAACAGUCUCCAGCUCUUCAGACAUUGUUGUAUACAUAUAUAAGGCCUCUUGGUCCAGUACCACACUUGUCGAAGUACAGUCAUCUGCGAGCACUGCAACUCUUUGAAUUGAGAAAGCUCCCACUUCGGCCAAGGCACUUACAACACCUGAGGUAUCUUGAUCUCUCAAACAAUGAAUUGAUCAAAGAGCUUCCCAAGGAAAUAAGCGUACUGUAUAAUCUACAAACUCUUAAAGUUUGUAAUUGCAAGAGACUUUGUCGACUUCCAAAGGAUAUGAAAUAUAUGACAAAUCUCCGUCACCUCUAUGCUAGUGGAUGCACAUCAUUAGAGUGCAUGCCUCCAGACCUGGGGCAACUCACUUCUCUUCAGACUCUAACAUAUUUUGUGGUGGGUUCUGGUCCUGGUUGCAGUACUAUUAGAGAACUAUGUGGCUUAAAUCUUGGUGGUGAGCUAGAGCUAUCUUGUCUUGAAUAUGUAACUGAAGAGCAUGCUAAAGCAUCCAGUCUUGGAAAUAAAGAGGAACUCACACAUCUAUCUCUUAAAUGGAGUGAUGACAGCAUCGAGGAACUGGACCAACAUAGGAAUGUGCUUGAUGCUCUUAAACCUCAUGCUGCGCUGGAGUUUCUAGGAAUAUAUUCUUACAGAGGUACUGCUUUCCCAACAUGGAUGACAAGUCAUACUUUUCUGCAGCAUUUGACUGAGCUCCACCUAGAUGGUUGUACGAUGUGCGAGCAAUUUCCACAAUUCGGUCAAUUUAAGGCCCUUGAAGUUCUCGUUUUGAAAAGAUUGAACAGAUUGCAAAUCCUAUGCGGUAGCAAUUCAUCUGCAGCAUUUCCAGCAUUAAAAGACCUCAGAAUUGAAAAUUUGGAGAUUUUUGAGGGAUGGGUUGCAACAGAACAAGAAGAAUCAACAUUUCCUUUACUUGAGAAUGUUCGAAUUGAGAACUGCCCAAAGCUGACAACUCUGCCUGAAGCAACCAGACUCAAAGUUCUAGAGCUAGAAGAAGACAAGCCUCAACUAUCCUUAUCGAUAUUGAAAUCCAGGUACAUGUCUUAUUUGUCUGAAUUAUUCCUGUCUGUUUGUGAUACAGAAGCAACACCAACACCGAAGAUUGAUCAAGAUCCUGAAGUAUCUCUUUCAAGAAUGGUGUUGACUGGUUGCAGCUUCCUGUUCCCAUCAAGUCCAUUGCAGCCAGCAGUUGGUGUCUGGAAAUGGUUUGGUCAGCUUGUGAGAUUGGAUAUUGAUUCUUGCGAUACGCUCAUCUCUUGGCCCGAAGAAGAGCUCCGAAGCUUGGUAUCAUUGAAGAUUCUGGUCAUUAAGAACUGCAGCGAGCUAAUAGGCCUCGCUGAGGUGAAAGGAUGUUGUACUCGAGGAAGCCUGCCCAAUCUAACAGAGCUAGCUAUAGUACACUGUGUCAACUUAACAGAGCUUUUCGUUCUCCCCCCAUCUCUCACGAGUCUGACAUUAGAAGAGUGCCAUAGUGUAGAGUUCAUACUGGGGCAGGGUGAUGCAACAGCAUCGUCGGAACACUGCAAUGACCUUGCAUCCAAUAAUAUGCCAGAGCAGUCACCUCCGCCCAAAGUUAAUCCUUUGCUAUGUCUCAAGUAUUUAAUAAUACAAAGCUGCAACAAGAUACGUUCCGUGCCAGGGCCAUUGGACACCCUCACGAAUCUGAAUAUUGGUGAUUGCAGUGGGCUGGAGUCAUUAGAUUCUUUGGGCGACCUACCGUUACUGCAAGCAUUAUCCCUAGUGGACUGCAAGAAUCUGGCAUCCGUACCGGGUAGUAAUGGAAACUACUCAGCCCUUGAGAAGAUCAUGAUUAGAUACUGCCCAGCUAUAAAUAUGAGGCCACUUUAUGGUCACCUCCAACGACGGUGCAAUAGCCUUGAAUACAAGGAUCUAUCUCAUGCUGGUUCAAGCAAUCCUAUCAAAGGGCCUAAACUAUGGGAACCGAAAUCUUGGAAAUAUGUUAUUCCUCGACAGUGGCCAGUGUACUGA
rnacentral:rRNA from 1 species